AGAUCCAAGAGUAACACACAGCAACUGGACUCCAGACAGGAAAUCUAUUACACUGACUGCUCUCAAGUAUCUGCUUUUGGAUGCCUUCCUGAGAUGUAAUCCAGCUAGGAAAACAGGACCCUAGAGCAAUUUCAGUUUUCCUUUGGGUAGAACCUGCAGGACAACACAGAUCCCAUGAGAUCACAGCGUGUUCUGACCCUGUUCAGAGCUGAGGAUCCUCAGGACCUGUGGACCUGCAGCACCAGUUCCUGCUGGGAGGCCUCAGACCUUUUACCAGCAGGUGUUUCAAGACAAACAGUGACAAACUUAACUACGGAUCCUGCUC